rnacentral:tRNA from 1 species
GGGGACGAAUGCAAAGCGGUUCGCGCAGUUGGCUUUUCACGUCAAUCCUAACGGGUUCGAGUCCUGUCGUCCCUGCCA